ensembl:lncRNA
ACAAUUUGUUCUUGCUUUUUAAAGUAUGCUCAAAUGUGGGUUUUUUUGUAUUGCUGUCACCAGGGAUAAAUGUGAACGUAUGGAAGAGAAGGAACAUUUAUUCUCAAGAUUGCAUUUGCUAGGAGUGAGUUGGAUGUAUUCAAUUUUAUCUUUUUGUGUUGAUGGUGGCUAAAAGCAUGAGAUCUUUCUUCACUGACAAGUUGAAGAGAAACAAAAGGGAUAUUCAAAUAUCCAUGGAGAAUUUUCCUUUGGGACUCUGAUGCACAUCAGCACAUUGUUCUCCUUCAUGUGGAAGCCCUGGGUAACAAAAGGAAGGGUAAACGUUUUGAGAACAAUGGCUGAAAGACUUGGAACCAAGCUGAUGGAGCAAAAAGCAAAAUCCAUCUUCAGCCCUCCCAAGGAGACUGGAAGAGGGGUGGUGAUGGAAGAGAGAGCUGAUGUAUCAGGGGAAGAGGAGGAGAUGCAGUAAAAGAAUUAGCAAACAGACCUGAAAUGUUAUUGCAUUCCUCAAGAUGUGAUGACGUAUAUUUAAUAUGCAUUUCUAGCAAAAAGAAAAAUGAAAAAUUGAAGGCCACUCAUCUAAACAUGGAAAGGAAACAGUCUAGAAAAGAGAAGUUCAGGUGGGACUGAGUGAGGUUUGAGGAAGCCUUGAAUGCAAGGCAUAACUGGUGGAAGCUGCUAAUGAAAACGGUGGCAGGAGGAUGGCUUGCAAAUGGCUGAGGUGAGUUGCACCAACAGACCAGUGCCACUGAAAUCAGGCCUUGCUGUCCCUAAAAAACACUUUUGUGUCAAACUGUGAAUGGUGGUUACUGGAGUGAAGGGAAAGCAACCAGCUGGAUGAACAUUUGCUUCUCCAGAGGGCAAGACUCUAAAAUUGUAUCGGUUUAGUUAUACAACAGACCUGAAAUGUUAUUGCAUUCCUCAAGAUGUGAUGACGUAUAUUUAAUAUGCAUUUCUAGCAAAAAGAAAAAUGAAAAAUUGAAGGCCACUCAUCUAAACAUGGAAAGGAAACAGUCUAGAAAAGAGAAGUUCAGGUGGGACUGAGUGAGGUUUGAGGAAGCCUUGAAUGCAAGGCAUAACUGGUGGAAGCUGCUAAUGAAAACGGUGGCAGGAGGAUGGCUUGCAAAUGGCUGAGGUGAGUUGCACCAACAGACCAGUGCCACUGAAAUCGGGCCUUGCUGUCCCUAAAAAACACUUUUGUGUCAAACUGUGAAUGGUGGUUACUGGAGUGAAGGGAAAGCAACCAGCUGGAUGAACAUUUGCUUCUCCAGAGGGCAAGACUCUAAAAUUGUAUCGGUUUUUAGGAAUUAAUUAUUGUGUUCUGUUCACUUGCCUGGUGUUCUCUUUUUUAAUUAAAUAUUGAAAUGUGUAACUGUUUUACUUAAAGUUGUAGAUGGCAGAAGUGGUUGCUGUGAGUGCAAUUAAUAUAAUUUCUCCAGCUCUCUGCAUAGGUCUUCAAGCAAGCGUUUACCUAGGAAGUGCCUUAAAUUUGAAUGUAUCUGUGCUCUUGUCAGCUGAAUCACGGCAGGAAGGUUACACUGAAAAGUGAUUUGGAUGUUCAGUUGGCUGAAGGAGUGACGUAUUGAUUCCCUGGAAUAGCAAGUAUAAAUAAUGCAUAUAAAUGCAUCAGAUCCAAUGCUGAAUUAAGGCUCGGUUGCUGCUUGUGAUUUUGAAGGAAGGAGAGGCAAUCUGGAUUUCAAAGGCAUGCAUAUUUCCAUGCACAUUUCUAAACACAAGAUCAGCUGAGACUUUUACAUGUUUAUAUUCUGUGUAGGGAAAGGUAACAGUAGUUAAACAUGGAAUAAAAGACUUUUUCCUUUUUUUCUUUUAU